UUGAGUCACGGGCCACUUGUAUGACUGUGUGGGCGCGGGGAGUCUUCCUGAGCUGUUCUACUCGCAGUGGUGAGUGGGAGAACCGCUCCUUAAAAUGGAAACUCUUUCUCCCGCACACAGCUAAAGGCUCUGACAGGUUGAGGCGGCAUAUCUUUCCAAGCCAGUUUUUGUUCUGUCUGGAGUAGACCCUCUUCUUCCUGCCAGGGAACUGUCUCUUAUCUCUUCACAAGUCCCUCAAGUAGGGGCCGAGAGAGAGAGCGCACCAGUGUGAAAUUCGACACGGCAGUGGCACUCGUCUGCGCCGGGCCUGGACUGGCAGGAGGCCCUGAUCUGCGCUAUGGCUCCCAGCAGGCCUCCCAGAAUGCUUCAGGAGUGAGUCACAUGGGUCAUCCUGCUUUGCGCACAGGCCGCCAUCUUAGGAAGGAAGCACUCAUCUUCAGGGAAACACGGCCCAGUGUGAGUCCAGAGGACUGACGCAAGAUGAGGAUUGAUUUAAGGGAAAAGAGGAUUUGUGUGUGUGUUCUACUGCAUCCUUAAUAUUUUUUUGGACAUAAAUAAAUGGUUAAAAUUA